AACGCCGCGUGAGUGUUGAAGGCUUUCGGGUCGUAAAGCUCUGUCAAUGGGAAAGAAGUGUAAGGUGGUUAAUACCCGCUUUACUUGACGGUACCCAUAAAGGAAGCACCGGCUAACUCCGUGCCAGCAGCCGCGGUAAUA
rnacentral:rRNA from 1 species